rnacentral:rRNA from 1 species
GCUGGUGCCUGGUGCGCGGGGGACACACCCGUUCCCAUUCCGAACACGGUAGUUAAGCUCCGUAGCGCUGAUGAUACUACAGCCGCAAGGCUGUGGGACAGUAAGUCGGCGCCGGCA